GGGGGUUUAGCUUAGUGGUAUAAGCGCCUGCCUGGCAAACAUGAGGUCGUGAGUUUGAUCCCCCU
rnacentral:tRNA from 1 species